ensembl:lncRNA
GGCAGGGGCUGUGUCUCCCCUUCACCCUGGAGCUGCCUCAGGUCGGGGCACUGUUUUCUCCGUGAGGCUGGAGGCUCGCUGAGAGAGACUCUGCUUCCUGUUGGCACUGGGGCUGUGGUCUGGCAGCCAGGCGCCUGGCCGCUCCCCACACCUCCCAGGAGGCCUGGUGCAGAGGGAGCGGGUCAUGUCCUCCUGCAACGCUCUCCAGCCACCCACCACUUGCCGGUGAGUCCACAGCUCCCGAGGCAGCAGGGCCACCCCUCUAUCUGAGCAGGGCCCCUCGGGGUGAGACCUCCUGUGAGAGCCCCAGGAAGCCCAAUGAGAGGAAACGCUGUGGAGCGUGGGGGAGGUUUGAAGCUGACACUGAGGAAGCCUUCCUGGGAAGGAGCUUGAGCCCCUGGACAAGACUGGGGUCACUGCUGUCCGGGGCUACAGCUGCCUGGGCAGCAGGAGGGACCUGUGAGCAAAGCAGUGUUGGGAGAUACCUCUGCCCUUGUCUCUGGGAUAGCAGGACUCUGUCCUGGUCAUGCUGGAUGUCCGAUCCUGGCCCUCAUGAGAUCUGACUUUUGACCUUUGGCUUAAUCAUAGACUGAGGUUGUUUGUCCAGUCACCCCACACCAUUAAGAUUGUGCGGAGCCCAGUGCUGGCUCCGGGCAGGGCGGGCAGUCUGUCUGAGGAGGAGACACAGCCUCUGCCCUCAGGAGCCCAGUGGAGGGGCAGUAGGCUCUCCCCCAGGGAAGAGACCUGUCAUAGGGACAAAUGACCUGGGAGGCAGGCGAACCCCUCACCCCUCCUCUAGGGGCAGCUGGAGCCUGAACUGCAUGUGAAUCUGAAACUAGAUCAGGGAAGAGCUGGCAGCAUGCCCGGCAGUGGCAGCAGUGCUUUGGGGAGCUGGUGGGGCUGAGGAAGCACCCGUGAGUCCCCCUGCCCUGGCCGUCUGCAGACAAGCCCUUGGGUGUAAGGGACAAAGGCUGGGUGGGAGAGUGCACACUAUGGGCAGAUGUUCAGGCCUGGGAGAGGGGCGUGCUGGGCUCUCGGUCCUCCAUGCUGGUGAGUGUGCUGCACGCAGAAGAUGCACGAGGCAUCAGUGAGGGUGUGUGGUGCAGGUGUGUGCACUUCUGGUGCAACACGUGUGGGUGAGCCAGGAUGCAGCCCACAAGGGGAGCAGGGAGACUGGGCCAGUGUCUGCCCCAUGAGGUCAUGCUGGGAAAUCUGCCCCUGCUUCCUGGACCUCAAGGCCCCUGCACACAGGGAGGGGUCGGCAGAGACCAGUGUAGGCCUCCCCAGCUCCAUCAGUCUGUGCUCUGAGCACCCGCACCUGGGGAAGCCCCAAGGGGCCCUGCCCGCCCACUGCCAGGCCUUCUGUCUCCCCUUGAUCCCUCGCCUUGGCGCCCCAACAACUGUGCCUGACCAGCGAAUGCAGACUGAGCCAGCUGUCGCUGUGACAUCCAUUCUCCUCGGUGGGCCUGGGUGCUCCCACCCAGCUCCCCUAGCUCCUCUCGCCCGCCUCCCUCCCUGCUACACCCACAUCUGGGAAUUAGGCAGGAUGACACCUAAAAGCCUCCAGUGGCCAUGGAAUCUCAUGGGGUUCUGAGCCUUAAUCCACGAGCUGGUCUCGAGAGACCAAGGUAACAAGAAGUUCUGCUCCCAGCACCCUCAGAUCCCCACUUUCUCUGCCCCGGGGCUCUGGGAGGAUUCCUGGGGCACCAGCCCAGAAGAGGAAAAAGGCGCCUUAUUUGCAUAUCACUUUCAUCUGAUUUGCACAUGCCUCCUGGUUUGGCCAUUUCUAAGCAACCCUAGAAUUUGGAUCUCACAGGAUGCUGAGCCGUUUCUAGGCGCUAGCUUCUCUCCAUCUCCCACAACCCAGGUGCCUCCUAAAGGACAGUCACAUGAGCGUCCCUGCAAAUAAUCCACCUGCCAAUGCAGGAGAUGCAGGUUUGAUCCCUAGGUCGGGAAGAUCUCCUGGAGAAGGAAAUGGCAACCCACUCCAGUAUUCUUGCCUAGGAAAUCCCAUGGACAGUAGAGCUUAGUGGGCUAUUGUCCAUGGGGUCGCAAAGAGUCAGACACAACUUAGUGACUAAAAGGACAUCAAAGCGCAGUCACACGCACGGAACUCUCCCUCCACUCAGCUGCACUUGCACGCAGGCGCAAGAGUACAGCAGCCUCCGCCAAAUGCAGAAAUGCGGAGUCCUGGGCCCCAGCCCUGUGCACCCUCACCCUUGGCCCAUGGAAUAUACACUGAAUACACACUCACAUGUGCAACUGCAUACUUCCGUCUUCACACGCACUCAAAACUCACACACAUUUGUCUACACACAGCCUCAGGGCACAAGCAAACACAACUCAGCUUCACAUAGGAGUUGGGUGGGUUACACACAGUCUCUGUGCCAGGGUGGGCUGCCAGUGAGGUGCCCUAAGCAACAGAUCCCACCCAGCCCCUGAGAUGGGCAGGACUGGCAAGGGUCCUGCUGUGUGACUGGCUGGGAGGAGACAGCGCAGCUCAGGUGGCUAUUGGUAGUGGUUUUACCACCAGCAGGUCCCUAGGAUACACAGUCAAUGUAGCAACCCUUUAGUCAGAGUUUUGUCUUCCCCGAAAUAUGGUUUCAUCCUGCGUUUUCUGUACCAUUUCUGGUCCCCCAACCCCAGGCCUCCUGCCCUUAUUGGUCCCCAAACAGCUUCCUUGGGUGGCCCUGCCUUCUGACUUUAUUCACCCUACUCCCUACCAAGAACACCUCCCUGCCUCCUCCAACGUGAACACCCAACACCUUCAUUCAUGCCCUCUUCCUGGGUGGGCUUCCUUCCCUGUUCUCUCGGCACACUUCUAUACAUCCUUCAAGUCCCACCUUGAGCGUCACCUCUUCGGUGAAUCCUUCUCCAGUCUUACCAGGCAGAAGUAAUCUCGCUCCUCACUCUGUAAAUCCAGAGGCAGAGCAGUGGGUAGAAAGACACAGUUGGCCCUGAAUAUCUGUGUAGAGGAUGUUUAGGGGUUCGGAGGCUUUAUUUGUAAGGAAGGGCAGGGGGCUUUUCAGAAAAACAUAAUUACAUGGUGAGUGUCUGGGUUUAAAUUAUAUUUGUGUUUAUUUUCGGGGAAGAGCAUAGACACCAUAAUCAGACAAUACUGCUUCUACCAUUUCUGCUGUGCAUCUUUGGCCCCGCACCCCUGAGAUCACUAACGUGGCUGAAGGAGCACUGUCUCGCCUUAUUGUUCUAAGGCUGUUCACUAAGCAGGAGACAUGGGUUCAAUCCCUGGAUUGGGAAAAUUCCCUGGAAAAGGAAAUGGCAAUCCACUCCAGUAUUCUUGCCUGGGAAAUCCCAUGGACAAGGGAGCCUGGCAGGGCUUAAUUUCCAAAUAUACAAACAGUUCAUGCAACUUGCAACAAUAACGAAAAACAUGAGCAACCCAAUCAAAACAUGGGCAGAAGACCUCAAGAGAUAUUUCUCCAAAGAAGACAUAUAGAUGGCCAACAGUCACAUGAAAAGAUACUCAAUCUUGCUAAUUAUUAGAGAAAUGCAAAUCAAAACUACAAUGAGGUGCCACUUCACACUGGUCAGAACGGUCAUCAUUAAAAAAUCUAGAAAUAACAAAUGCUGGGGAGGAUUUGGAGUAAAGAAAACCCUCCUACAUUGGUGUGACUGUAAACUGGCGUAGCCACUAUGGAAAACUGUAUGGAUGUUCCUCAAAAAACUAUAAACGGAACUACCAUAUGAUCCAGCAAUCCCAUUCCUGGGCAUAUAUCCUGACUAAACUAUACUCAAAGAGAAACAUACACCCUAUGUUCAUAGCAGCACGGUUCACAAUAGGCAAGACAUGGGAACAACCUAAAUGUCUAUCAACAGAUGACUGGAUAAAGGAGAUGGAAUACUAUCAGACAUAAAAAGGAAUGAAAUAAUGCCAUUUGUAGCAACGUGGAUGGACCUAGAGAUUAUCACACUAAGUCACAAAGACAAAUACCAUGUGAUAUCACUUAUGUGUAAAAUCUAUAAAGAAGGCUGAGCGCCAAAGAAUUGAUGCUUUUGAACUGUGGUGUUGGAGAAGACUCUUGAGAGUCCCUUGGACUGCAAGGAGAUCCAACCCGUCCAUCCUAAAGGAAAUCAGUCCUGAAUGUUCAUUGGAAGGACUGAUGCUGAAGGAUGAAUACUUUGGCCACCUGAUGCGAAGGACUGACUCAUGGAAAAGACCCUGAUGCUGGGAAAGACUGAAGGCAGGAGGAGAAGGGGAUGAGAGAGGAUGAGAUGGUUGGAUGGCAUCCCCGACUCGAUGGACAUGAGUUUGAGCGAGCUCCAGGAGUUGGUGAUGGACAGGGAAGCCUGGCGUGCUGCAGUCCAUGGGAUCGCAGAGUCCGACGCGACUGAGCGACUGAACUGAACUGGUGUGUAAACUCUAAAGUGUGACGCAAAUAAACUUAUCUACAGAACAGAAGCAAACUCACAGACACAGAGAACAGACUUGUGGUUGCCAAGGGGGUGGGGGAGAGACGGAUUGGGAGUCUGAGAUGUGCAGAUGCAAACUAUUAAAUACAGAAUGGAUAAGCAACAAGGUCCUCAUUGCAUAGCCCAGAGAACUAUGGUCAAUACCUGUGAUAAACCACAAUGAAAAAGAAUAUGAAAAGGACUAUAUAUUAUACAUACGCGUACAGCUGAAUCACUUUGCUGUACGCCAGAAAUUAACACGACAUUGUAAACCAACUAUAUUUUAAUAAAAUAAAUUUUUAAAA